rnacentral:rRNA from 1 species
CCUACGGGAGGCAGCAGUGAGGAAUAUUGGUCAAUGGACGCAAGUCUGAACCAGCCAUGCCGCGUGCAGGAUGACGGCUCUAUGAGUUGUACACUGCUUUUGUACGAGGGUAAACCCCGAUACGUGUAUCGGGAUGAAAGUAUCGUACGAAUAAGGAUCGGCUAACUCCGUGCCAGCGACCGCGGUAAUAAGGAGGAUCCGAGCGUGAUCCGGAGUUAUUGGGUUUAAAGGGUGCGUAGGCGGUUUGAUAAGUGAGAUGUGAAAUGUCGUGGAUCAACCCCGAAAAUGCCUCUAGUACUGUUGGACUAGAGAAUAGUUGCGGUAGGCGGAAUGUAUGGUGUAGCGGUGAAAUGCUUAG